rnacentral:rRNA from 1 species
CAGUAGCCGCGGUAAUACGAAGGGGGCUAGCGUUGCUCGGAAUGACUGGGCGUAAAGGGCGCGUAGGCGGCGAUCAAAGUCAGGCGUGAAAUUCCUGGGCUCAACCUGGGGGCUGCGCUUGAUACUUGGUUGCUUGAGUGGGGAAGAGGGUCGUGGAAUUCCCAGUGUAGAGGUGAAAUUCGUAGAUAUUGGGAAGAACACCGGUGGCGAAGGCGGCGACCUGGUCCUUGACUGACGCUGAGGCGCGAAAGCGUGGGGAGCAAACAGGAUUAGAGACCCCCGUAGUCCCUGUCUCUUAUAC